GCAGCUUACUAUAUACAUGAUAUAAACGAAUGCACAAGGUAUGUUUUAUUGUGGGCCGAGACCAUGAAGAGAACUAAAUCGAUAAAGUACUGGUCAGUAUUCGAUAAAUUAAAUCCUAUUCAAACAAUUCAUUGAUAAAGUACUUAGUGUGAACGUACAUAGCUAUGUAAAGUAAGUGAAGUAUUCAAAGCACACAACACAGGACGUUGAUUUGCUCACUACGAGAGAGCUGUUCCAAUAUCACUGAUUAGUUGAUGCAUAUGGAUAUUACAUUAUUCCGUGCCAUUAAUGCCUUUGUAUGUUGUAUGGGAUCUUCACAGGUAACCCAGCCAGGUGUAACUCCAGGACUAUUCCGAGCAAAUGGUGUAUUUUCAGGUACGAAGUCAGGUACGAAGCUUGAUGAAGCAAGAUGGCAAAAAGACGAUCGUAACAGUUGAAGUUGAUAAAAUAAGAAACGUUAGUCCUGUCCUGACCUGCUAGCUUCGAUGAAAUCGGGCGUCGACUAACGGAUGAUCAAGAUGUCACCAUGUCCCUCCAUCAGUCGCAGGCAAUUGUUGUUUACUCUCUCUGCCUGCUCCAUAUUGGUAAUUACUCUUCAAUUGAUAUCAACUAAAACUAUGAUCUUCCAACCCAAAGUUACCGUCCAGUUAUCGUCCACCACAGAUGCAUGCGCGACGUGUAUAACUUCAUACAACCGACCUGAAACAUGUGAUAAUUGUUUCGCCCACAACUUUAACUACACGAUUAAUAACAGAAAUCUAUGCAAAAGUAUACCUGGCUCGCCUAGGGUAGAAAUACUUGUCUUGGUCACAUCAUCGGCUCAUGAAAAAGACAGGAGAGAUGCAAUACGAAAUACAUGGGGUGUAGUUGCAUCACCUUCAAGUAGUUUACGACUAGCUUUUUUACUAGGAAAACAUUCCAACGAUACUGUCAAUGCUUUACUUAGAGAAGAGAAUAAACUCCACUAUGAUCUCAUACAAGAGGAUUUUGAGGAUAGCUACAUGAACUUAACUCUGAAAUCCGUCAUGGCCCUUAAAUGGGCUGUGAACUUUUGCAAAAAUACCGAUUACAUUAUGAAAACCGACAGUGAUAUGUUUAUCAACCUUGACAAUCUGAAGGACAUCUUGAAAGAAAAUCCUCUAGGGAAUGAAAUUGGUGGCUUUGCAAAGCCACCCGAAAGUCCCAUAAGAGACCCACAUUCAAAAUGGUAUACACCAGAAUCCUUUUAUCCUAACUCAACAUUCCCAUGGACAUUUUCAGGAACAGGAUAUGUCAUGAAAUAUGAAGUAGCAAAAGAUGUACUCGCCAUGAGUAAAAACACUCCAUUUUUUCAUCUUGAGGAUAUCUACAUAGCAUUUAACAUACACAAACUUGGUUAUGGAGUUAAAUUUCUAGAUGGGUUUAGCACUGAUAGGACUUUCCUAGACCCAACAUACUACUGUGCCUGCGUUACCUCAAGCCACCAACUGCUGCCUAGAGACCUAUAUCAAAUCUGGAAAGAAAUGGAUGAUAUGAAAUGCUCCGUCGUUCGCAAAAGUUUGAGAUUUGGCAAUCAAUGUCGCAAUCUUCACAUUAAGCAUACAAUGUGGGUCAUUCUAAAGUAUGGACUCAUAGGAAUUUUAGUAAUUAAUAUACCUUUAUAUGUCUUAUUGACAUAUCUAGGGAGACAAGGAAAAUUUAUUAAUUCUUAUCAUAAGACAUUGUACUCUUUGAGUCAAUUUCGAGAUACAAGUAGUCCACCGAAAGAUUUCAAUGAAUUUAUGGAAAAGAUGAGUGGAAGUACACAUCUCAAUCAAAAAUGAAUUGUGGUUUUUAGCUGUGAUAUGGAUUAGGUGAAUAAAUUUAUUGAAAAAUUAGUGGAAGUACACAUCUCAAUCAAGAAUGAGUUGUGAUUUUAAGCUGUGAUAUGGAUUAGAUGAAAUUAAUUUAUGGAAAAAAUUAGUAAAUGUACACUUUUCAAUCAUUAAUGAAUUGUGAUUUUUAGCUGUGAUAAGGAUUAGAUGAACAAUUUAUGGAAAAAUUAGCGGAAGUACACAUGUCAAUCAAAAAUGAAAUUUAGUGAUUUUUAGUUUAGGUGCAAUAGGUGAAUGUUCCUUCAAAUCAGUAAAUGAAAUGAAGUUGCAACGCCAGAUGCAAGGAAGAUUGACUGAGUCAUGACGGGAUUACAAAAAUUCAAAAUCAAACAGUCGCCAUUUUUCAUCACUUCAGGAUUUGAAUCACGAGUUUUGGUCUUUCCAAACAAAUAAUUCAAAAAAAACACAAGAAAUGAUCAAGAUAGUUCCUUUUGGAUCGCUGAUCAUGAAUUUAUAGUCAGUUAUAAAGUCAGAAGACUAUCGUCGAGGAAUAUAAUCAAGGACGCUAUAUCUUGAGAUCGUUAUUAAAUGGAAUAAGGUAUGAACGAGAAAACGUCCUAUACAUUCUAAGAAACAAUUUUUCUACUAGUGUUCAUUACAGGUAUACUAGAAGUAGUAUAAGUGUAUAGAUUUGUACUUUACUUCGAAGAGAUACUGUAGAACCAGUGCCCCUUUUAUACAGUUCCGUGUGAUACUUUUGUAAAUUAUUUUUAUUUUACAAGUUAUCAACACACCAAAAAUUAUGGGGACUAAUGUUAGAUAAACGAAGAUAUAUUUUAUGCCCAGGGUGCCAUAUGUUGCCACAUUUAUAUAUUUAUAAAAUCAAUGUUUAUAUGUUCACUCUACUAUACCUUGCAUUUAGUGUUCAUGAGCAACCCAUUUGGCUUAUUAGUAAUGAUUAUGUAUUUGUUUUUAUUUGUCUGUUCCUUAUAAAUGGUUUAUCGGUUGAAGAAUAGAUGUUACUAAGGCACUUUCAAAAAUAUACUAAACAAUUCAAUUGGACAAACAAAGUAUCUUAUGCAUUUCUAGG
rnacentral:misc_RNA from 1 species